UACAGAGGGUGCGAGCGUUAAUCGGAAUUACUGGGCGUAAAGCGUGCGUAGACGGUCAAGUAAGUCGGGUGUGAAAGCCCCGGGCUCAACCUGGGAAUUGCAUUCGAGACUGCGUGGCUAGGGUGCGGAAGAGGGAAGCGGAAUUUCCGGUGUAGCGGUGAAAUGCGUAGAUAUCGGAAGGAACACCAGUGGCGAAAGCGGCUUCCUGGUCCAGCACCGACGUUCAGGCACGAAAGCGUGGGGAGCAAACAGG
rnacentral:rRNA from 1 species